ACCUAGAAGAAUUAGCUCAAGCAGUAGAGCAUCAGACUCGAUCUCAGGGCCAUGGGUUCAAGCCCCACAUUGGGCA